rnacentral:lncRNA from 1 species
GGGGGCUCUAGACCUCCUCCUCAGCCUGGACUUCGGCGCACAGCGGGCACGGAGCCCCCGAGGUGAGAUGCAAAGAGAGGAAGUAGCUCCCUCCGGAUCACACCAUCGGGGAGCCUUGUGGCAGGACUGGAACUCGAGCUGUGUUCUAGAGCCUGUGCUUCAUCUCCAACAUGUGGCAAAAAUGACCAAAGGUGGCUCACGAGGUUGGGUGACUCAUGGGUCAGGAGGUUACAUCGAACCUGCCAAGUGCAUGUGACACAGUGUCAAUUGAUCUGAGGAAUCAAUACCUGAAGCACUGAC